rnacentral:rRNA from 1 species
GACGAACGCUGGCGGCGUGCUUAACACAUGCAAGUCGAACGGUAAGGCCCUUCGGGGUACACGAGUGGCGAACGGGUGAGUAACACGUGGGUGAUCUGCCCUGCACUUCGGGAUAAGCCUGGGAAACUGGGUCUAAUACCGGAUAGGACCACUGCCUGCAUGGGUGGUGGUGGAAAGCUUUUGCGGUGUGGGAUGGGCCCGCGGCCUAUCAGCUUGUUGGUGGGGUGAUGGCCUACCAAGGCGACGACGGGUAGCCGGCCGGAGAGGGUGACCGGCCACAAUGGGACUGAGAGACGGCCCAGACUCCUACGGGAGGCAGCAGUGGGGAAUAUUGCACAAUGGGCGCAAGCCUGAUGCAGCGACGCCGCGUGAGGGAUGACGGCCUUCGGGUUGUAAACCUCUUUCAGCACCGACGAAGCGCAAGUGACGGUAGGUGCAGAAGAAGGACCGGCCAACUACGUGCCAGCCGCCGCGUAA